AACGUAGGUUCCGAGCGUUAUCCGGAUUUACUGGGCGUAAAGCGCGUUCAGGCGGUUCGGCAAGUCGGGCAUGAAAUCUCUCGGCUCAACCGGGAGAGGUUGUCCGAUACUGCUGGACUUGAGGGCAGUAGAGGGUGGUGGAAUUCCGGGUGUAGUGCUGAAAUGCGUAGAUAUCCGGAGGAACACCAGUGGCGAAAGCGGCCACCUGGACUGUACCUGACGCUCAAACGCGAAAGCUAGGGGAGCGAACGGG
rnacentral:rRNA from 1 species